GACGAAGGGGGCUAGCGUUGUUCGGAAUUACUGGGCGUAAAGCGCGUGUAGGCGGUUGCCCAAGUCGGGUGUGAAAGCCUUGAGCUCAACUCAAGAAAUGCACUCGGUACUGGGUGACUAGAGGACCGGAGAGGAUAGUGGAAUUCCCAGUGUAGUGGUGAAAUACGUAGAGAUUGGGAAGAACACCAGUGGCGAAGGCGGCUAUCUGGACGGUUCUGACGCUAAGACGCGAAAGCGUGGGGAGCAAACAG
rnacentral:rRNA from 1 species